UACGGAGGAUGCGAGCGUUAUCCGGAUUUAUUGGGUUUAAAGGGUGCGUAGGCGGGAUGCCAAGUCAGCGGUAAAAAUGCGGUGCUCUACGCCGUCGAGCCGUUGAAACUGGCGUUCUUGAGUGGGCGAGAAGUAUGCGGAAUGCGCGGUGUAGCGGUGAAAUGCAUAGAUAUCACGCAGAACUCCGAUUGCGAAGGCAGCAUACCGGCGCCCUACUGACGCUGAGGCACGAAAGCGUGGGUAUCGAACAGG
rnacentral:rRNA from 1 species